GAAAGGGAGAUUAAUACCGCAUAAGAUUGUAGCUUCGCAUGAAGUAGCAAUUAAAGGAGUAAUCCGCUAUGAGAUGGGCCCGCGGCGCAUUAGCUAGUUGGUGAGGUAACGGCUCACCAAGGCGACGAUGCGUAGCCGACCUGAGAGGGUGAUCGGCCACAUUGGGACUGAGACACGGCCCAGACUCCUACGGGAGGCAGCAGUGGGGAAUAUUGCACAAGGGGGGAAACCCUGAUGCAGCAACGCCGCGUGAGU
rnacentral:rRNA from 1 species